AUAAAUAAAGUGAUGAUAACUUCAUACCCAACUCUGAGAAAAUAAUGUUGAAAUCUAUUUAACAUGCAUCACCAUCUGAAUUUGUA
rnacentral:snoRNA from 12 species